rnacentral:rRNA from 1 species
GGGUUGUGAGGUUAAGCGACUAAGCGUACACGGUGGAUGCCCUGGCAGUCAGAGGCGAUGAAGGACGUGCUAAUCUGCGAUAAGCGUCGGUAAGGUGAUAUGAACCGUUAUAACCGGCGAUUUCCGAAUGGGGAAACCCAGUGUGUUUCGACACACUAUCAUUAACUGAAUCCAUAGGUUAAUGAGGCGAACCGGGGGAACUGAAACAUCUAAGUACCCCGAGGAAAAGAAAUCAACCGAGAUUCCCCCAGUAGCGGCGAGCGAACGGGGAGGAGCCCAGAGCCUGAAUCAGUGUGUGUGUUAGUGGAAGCGUCUGGAAAGGCGCGCGAUACAGGGUGACAGCCCCGUACACAAAAAUGCACAUGCUGUGAGCUCGAUGAGUAGGGCGGGACACGUGGUAUCCUGUCUGAAUAUGGGGGGACCAUCCUCCAAGGCUAAAUACUCCUGACUGACCGAUAGUGAACCAGUACCGUGAGGGAAAGGCGAAAAGAACCCCGGCGAGGGGAGUGAAAAAGAACCUGAAACCGUGUACGUACAAGCAGUGGGAGCACGCUUAGGCGUGUGACUGCGUACCUUUUGUAUAAUGGGUCAGCGACUUAUAUUCUGUAGCAAGGUUAACCGAAUAGGGGAGCCGAAGGGAAACCGAGUCUUAACUGGGCGUUAAGUUGCAGGGUAUAGACCCGAAACCCGGUGAUCUAGCCAUGGGCAGGUUGAAGGUUGGGUAACACUAACUGGAGGACCGAACCGACUAAUGUUGAAAAAUUAGCGGAUGACUUGUGGCUGGGGGUGAAAGGCCAAUCAAACCGGGAGAUAGCUGGUUCUCCCCGAAAGCUAUUUAGGUAGCGCCUCGUGAAUUCAUCUCCGGGGGUAGAGCACUGUUUCGGCAAGGGGGUCAUCCCGACUUACCAACCCGAUGCAAACUGCGAAUACCGGAGAAUGUUAUCACGGGAGACACACGGCGGGUGCUAACGUCCGUCGUGAAGAGGGAAACAACCCAGACCGCCAGCUAAGGUCCCAAAGUCAUGGUUAAGUGGGAAACGAUGUGGGAAGGCCCAGACAGCCAGGAUGUUGGCUUAGAAGCAGCCAUCAUUUAAAGAAAGCGUAAUAGCUCACUGGUCGAGUCGGCCUGCGCGGAAGAUGUAACGGGGCUAAACCAUGCACCGAAGCUGCGGCAGCGACGCUUAUGCGUUGUUGGGUAGGGGAGCGUUCUGUAAGCCUGUGAAGGUGUGCUGUGAGGCAUGCUGGAGGUAUCAGAAGUGCGAAUGCUGACAUAAGUAACGAUAAAGCGGGUGAAAAGCCCGCUCGCCGGAAGACCAAGGGUUCCUGUCCAACGUUAAUCGGGGCAGGGUGAGUCGACCCCUAAGGCGAGGCCGAAAGGCGUAGUCGAUGGGAAACAGGUUAAUAUUCCUGUACUUGGUGUUACUGCGAAGGGGGGACGGAGAAGGCUAUGUUGGCCGGGCGACGGUUGUCCCGGUUUAAGCGUGUAGGCUGGUUUUCCAGGUAAAUCCGGAAAAUCAAGGCUGAGGCGUGAUGACGAGGCACUACGGUGCUGAAGCAACAAAUGCCCUGCUUCCAGGAAAAGCCUCUAAGCAUCAGGUAACAUCAAAUCGUACCCCAAACCGACACAGGUGGUCAGGUAGAGAAUACCAAGGCGCUUGAGAGAACUCGGGUGAAGGAACUAGGCAAAAUGGUGCCGUAACUUCGGGAGAAGGCACGCUGAUAUGUAGGUGAAGUCCCUCGCGGAUGGAGCUGAAAUCAGUCGAAGAUACCAGCUGGCUGCAACUGUUUAUUAAAAACACAGCACUGUGCAAACACGAAAGUGGACGUAUACGGUGUGACGCCUGCCCGGUGCCGGAAGGUUAAUUGAUGGGGUCAGCGCAAGCGAAGCUCUUGAUCGAAGCCCCGGUAAACGGCGGCCGUAACUAUAACGGUCCUAAGGUAGCGAAAUUCCUUGUCGGGUAAGUUCCGACCUGCACGAAUGGCGUAAUGAUGGCCAGGCUGUCUCCACCCGAGACUCAGUGAAAUUGAACUCGCUGUGAAGAUGCAGUGUACCCGCGGCAAGACGGAAAGACCCCGUGAACCUUUACUAUAGCUUGACACUGAACAUUGAGCCUUGAUGUGUAGGAUAGGUGGGAGGCUUAGAAGUGUGGACGCCAGUCUGCAUGGAGCCGACCUUGAAAUACCACCCUUUAAUGUUUGAUGUUCUAACGUUGACCCGUAAUCCGGGUUGCGGACAGUGUCUGGUGGGUAGUUUGACUGGGGCGGUCUCCUCCUAAAGAGUAACGGAGGAGCACGAAGGUUGGCUAAUCCUGGUCGGACAUCAGGAGGUUAGUGCAAUGGCAUAAGCCAGCUUGACUGCGAGCGUGACGGCGCGAGCAGGUGCGAAAGCAGGUCAUAGUGAUCCGGUGGUUCUGAAUGGAAGGGCCAUCGCUCAACGGAUAAAAGGUACUCCGGGGAUAACAGGCUGAUACCGCCCAAGAGUUCAUAUCGACGGCGGUGUUUGGCACCUCGAUGUCGGCUCAUCACAUCCUGGGGCUGAAGUAGGUCCCAAGGGUAUGGCUGUUCGCCAUUUAAAGUGGUACGCGAGCUGGGUUUAGAACGUCGUGAGACAGUUCGGUCCCUAUCUGCCGUGGGCGCUGGAGAACUGAGGGGGGCUGCUCCUAGUACGAGAGGACCGGAGUGGACGCAUCACUGGUGUUCGGGUUGUCAUGCCAAUGGCACUGCCCGGUAGCUAAAUGCGGAAGAGAUAAGUGCUGAAAGCAUCUAAGCACGAAACUUGCCCCGAGAUGAGUUCUCCCUGACUCCUUGAGAGUC